UGAGCAAUCUGCCCUUCACAUCGGAAUAACCAUUGGAAACGAUGGCUAAUACCGAAUAUGACUUCGGAUCGCAUGAUCUGAAGUGGAAAGCUCCGGCGGUGAAGGAUGAGCUCGCGGCCUAUCAGCUUGUUGGUGAGGUAAUAGCUCACCAAGGCGAUGACGGGUAGCCGGCCUGAGAGGGUGACCGGCCACACGUGGGACUGAGACACCGGCACGUACCG
rnacentral:rRNA from 1 species